rnacentral:rRNA from 1 species
UACGGAGGAUGCGAGCGUUAUCCGGAUUUAUUGGGUUUAAAGGGUGCGUAGGCGGGACCUUAAGUCAGCGGUAAAAUUGCGGUGCUCAACGCCGUAGAGCCGUUGAAACUGGGGUUCUUGAGUGAGCGAGAAGUAUGCGGAAUGCGUGGUGUAGCGGUGAAAUGCGUAGAUAUUAGGAGGAACACCAGUGGCGAAGGCGGCUUACUGGACGGUAACUGACGCUGAGGCUCGAAAGCGUGGGGAGCAAACAGG